UGGGGGAUAUUGCACAAUGGGGGAAACCCUGAUGCAGCGACGCCGCGUGGAGGAAGAAGGUUUUCGGAUUGUAAACUCCUGUUGUUGAGGAAGAUAAUGACGGUACUCAACAAGGAAGUGACGGCUAACUACGUGCCAGCAGCCGCGGUAAAACGUAGGUCACAAGCGUUGUCCGGAAUUACUGGGUGUAAAGGGAGCGCAGGCGGGAAGACAAGUUGGAAGUGAAAUCUAUGGGCUCAACCCAUAAACUGCUUUCAAAACUGUUUUUCUUGAGUAGUGCAGAGGUAGGCGGAAUUCCCGGUGUAGCGGUGGAAUGCGUAGAUAUCGGGAGGAACACCAGUGGCGAAGGCGGCCUACUGGGCACCAACUGACGCUGAGGCUCGAAAGUGUGGGUAGCAAACAGGAUUAGAUACCCUGGUAGUCCACACCGUAAACGAUGAUUACUAGGUGUUGGAGGAUUGACCCCUUCAGUGCCGCAGUUAACACAAUAAGUAAUCCACCUGGGGAGUACGACCGCAAGGUUGAAACUCAAAGGAAUUGACGGGGGCCCGCACAAGCAGUGGAGUAUGUGGUUUAAUUCGACGCAACGCGAAGAACCUUACCAAGUCUUGACAUCCUGCGACGGACAUAGAAAUAUGUUUUUCCUUCGGGACGCAGAGACAGGUGGUGCAUGGUUGUCGUCAGCUCGUGUCGUGAGAUGUUGGGUUAAGUCCCGCAACGAGCGCAACCCUUACUGUCAGUUACUACGCAAGAGGACUCUGGCAGGACUGCCGUUGACAAAACGGAGGAAGGUGGGGAUGACGUCAAAUCAUCAUGCCCUUUAUGACUUGGGCUACACACGUACUACAAUGGCGUUAAACAAAGAGAAGCAAGACCGCGAGGUGGAGCAAAACUCAGAAACAACGUCCCAGUUCGGACUGCAGGCUGCAACUCGCCUGCACGAAGUCGGAAUUGCUAGUAAUCGUGGAUCAGCAUGCCACGGUGAAUACGUUCCC
rnacentral:rRNA from 1 species